rnacentral:rRNA from 1 species
CAAGCCUGGUGUGAAAGGCCACCGCUUAACGGUGGGAGUGCGCUGGGAACUGUAGGGCUAGAGUUCAGGAGGGGAAGCUGGAAUUCCUGGUGUAGGGGUGAAAUCUGUAGAUAUCAGGAAGAACACCGGUGGCGAAGGCGAGCUUCUGGCCAUGAACUGACGCUGAGGCGCGAAAGCGUGGGGAGCGAACAGGAUUAGAUACCCUGGUAGUCCACGCUGUAAACGAUGUGCACUAGGUGUUGGCUGUUUUCACGGUCAGUGCCGAAGCAAACGCGAUAAGUGCACCGCCUGGGGAGUAUGCUCGCAAGGGUGAAACUCAAAGGAAUUGACGGGGGCCCGCACAAGCGGUGGAGCAUGUGGUUUAAUUCGAUGGUACGCGAGGAACCUUACCAGGGCUUGACAUAUAGCGGACGGCGGCAGAGAUGUCGCUUCCCUUCGGGGCUGCUAUACAGGUGCUGCAUGGCUGUCGUCAGCUCGUGCUGUGAGGUGUUGGGUUAAGUCCCGCGACGAGCGCAACCCCUUCUGUCUGUUACCAGCACAUAAUGGUGGGGACUCAGACGGUACUGCCGGUGACAAACCGGAGGAAGGUGGGGAUGACGUCAAGUCAUCAUGGCCCUUAUGUCCUGGGCUACACACGUGCUACAAUGGCCGGUACAGAGCGUGGCGAAACCGCGAGGUGGAGCAAAUCGCAGAAAACCGGUCUCAAUACGGAUUGGAGUCUGAAACCCGACUUCAUGAAG